UAGUGCCCGUACCCCAAACCGACACAGGUGGACAAGUAGAGAAUACUAAGGCGAGCGAGAGAACUCUGGUUAAGGAACUCGGCAAAAUAGUUCCGUAACUUCGGAAGAAGGAACGCCCCAGUAAAGUGAGUGAUUAACUUCAUUAGCUUGAACGGGCCGCAGUGAUCAGACUCAAGCGACUGUUUAUCAAAAACACAGGAGGGUGCAAAGUUCGAAUACAACGUAUACCCUCUGACACCUGCCCGGUGCUGGAAGGUUAAGUGGAUAGGUUAGCUUCGGCGAAGCUUUGAAAUUAAGCCCCAGUAAACGGCGGCCGUAACUAUAACGGUCCUAAGGUAGCGAAAUUCCUUGUCGGGUAAGUUCCGACCUGCACGAAUGGUGUAACGAUUUGAGUACUGUCUCAACCAGAGACUCGGCGAAAUUGCAAUGUGAGUAAAGAUGCUCACUAUGCGCGACAGGACGGAAAGACCCCGGAACCUUUACUGCAACUUGAUAUUGAAUGUUUGUAUGCAUUAUGCAGGAUAAGUGGGAGACUAUGAAAUAAUGGCGCUAGCUGUUAUUGAGUCGACCUUGAGAUACCACUUAAUCCAUAUUGACCUUCUAACCUAGAUCCGUUAUCCGGAUCAGGGACAUUGUCUGGUGGGCAGUUUCACUGGGGCGGUGGCCUCCUAAAAAGUAACGGAGGCGCUCUAAGGUCACCUCAGCGUGGACGGCAAUCACGCAUCGAGUGUAAGUGCAAAAGGUGGCUUGACUGUGACACAAACAAGUGGAGCAGGUACGAAAGUAGGAACUAGUGAUCCCAUGGUUGCAUGUGGGUGCGCCAUGGCUCAUCGGCUAAAAGGUACUCCGGGGAUAACAGGCUUAUACCCCCCAAGAGUCCAUAUCGACGGGGGUGUUUGGCACCUCGAUGUCGGCUCUUCUCAUCCUGGGGCUGGAGCAGGUCCCAAGGGUUAGGCUGUUCGCCUAUUAAAGAGGAACGCGAGCUGGGUUCAGAACGUCGUGAGACAGUUCGGUCCCUAUCCGUCGCGCACGUAAGAAAUUUGAAGAAAGUUGUCCCUAGUACGAGAGGACCGGGAUGAACGAUCCGCUGGUGUGCCAGUUGUUCUGCCAAGAGCACCGCUGGUUAGCUACGAUCGGACGGGAUAAGCGCUGAAAGCAUCUAAGUGCGAAGCCCCUUCUAAGAUAAGAUUUCUCAUCGGGUUAACCGAUUAAGACUCCUUAUAGAACAUGAGGUUGAUAGGUCAGAAGUGUAAUUACAGUAAUGUAUGUAGCUGACUGAUACUAAUAAGUCGAGGGCUUGAACUG
rnacentral:rRNA from 1 species